UGCCAACCUAGGGCUACAUAUAUGGGCAUUGAUCCAAGAAAUGACAUGCGUAGGAAACCCUAUUCUGUGCAACACAUUUUUUAAGAACACUCAAUUAAUUUUAUUAUAUGCUUUUUUCAUAUCCAGCUUAAUUUCAAUUAAUGGUUUGGACCUAUGGGCAUGCCUAAUAGAAUGUAUAACUUUUUGGGCCAUAAGAAUAUGUUGGAUAAUAUGACGCCCAGUAUAAAAGCAGCUUAAGUAGGAGAGAUGAGAGUGGCCA
rnacentral:lncRNA from 1 species